rnacentral:rRNA from 1 species
AGUGAACGCUGGCGGUAGGCCUAACACAUGCAAGUCGAACGGCAGCACAGUAAGAGCUUGCUCUUACGGGUGGCGAGUGGCGGACGGGUGAGGAAUACAUCGGAAUCUACUUUUUCGUGGGGGAUAACGUAGGGAAACUUACGCUAAUACCGCAUACGACCUACGGGUGAAAGCAGGGGAUCUUCUGACCUUGCGCGAUUGAAUGAGCCGAUGUCGGAUUAGCUAGUUGGCGGGGUAAAGGCCCACCAAGGCGACGAUCCGUAGCUGGUCUGAGAGGAUGAUCAGCCACACUGGAACUGAGCCACGGUCCAGACUCCUACGGGAGGCAGCAGUGGGGAAUAUUGGACAAAGGGCGCAAGCCUGAUCCAGCCAUACCGCGUGGGUGAAGAAGGCCUUCGGGUUGUAAAGCCCUUUUGUUGGGAAAGAAAAGCAGCAGGUUAAUACCCCGCUGUUCUGACGGUACCCAAAGAAUAAGCACCGGCUAACUUCGUG